GAAAUUUGAGGAAUUUGUCAAAGAGAUUGAAGCUAUGUGAGUAAAAUUCGGAGUUAAGGAGGAGGGCUGGAUUUUAGCCUCAAAAUUGGGUUUAAUUGGUGGAUUUUAGACUAGAAAGUAUUGAGGAAAUAUAAGAUAAGGUUUGAGGCAAGAGGGGGGACCAAGCAUUAAUUGUUGAAGAUAUUUUGCUUGGAUUUUUGCUCAUCUUCCUUCGCACGUCAUCUUCACCGGUUCUUUCCCCUUUGCUGUCUCCUUUUAAAACGGAUUGAAGCCGACUCCCCUUCCUAAAGAACGAACCGCCUCUGCCUUAUUUCAUCUUGGUCUUCCUCGUUGCACCUUCGCCAAAUCAACACCAAUUCUCAGCCACCAAUCCACUUUCGAGCUGCCUCUACUGUUUUUCCAUUCGUUCCUUCGAAGAUUGAAGCUGUUGUAUCCCCACCAACGUCCACGAAGCAGCUCCUCUCGUCCGCAUCUUCACCAGUCCACGCGUCUUCAGCUUCUUCGGUCAGAACCCCCAGCGAAGGACCACCGCUGUUGACUCCAAACCCACCGAAGAAAUCCCCAUGCGUCCGCCGAAGAUCAGCGAAGCCAGCUCGCCUUCUCCUCCGUUCCCCUUUGCCACGCUAGCCCACGUGCCUUCCAGCUACCAGAGUUGGUCAACCAACUGACUUCAACGUUGUGGAUUUCGGCCAGCUCAAAGACCAAGCGAAGCUGCUACCGCGCGUCUUCUGGUUGUCUGCCCACCGUCCGCGAGCAGCUCAGCAUCUUCGGUCUCCUCUGCCAACGAAUCCAGCCGCGUGAAGUCCAAGCGAAGCAGCUGCUCCUUCGCCGUUGAUCUUCACCGAGUCAG
rnacentral:lncRNA from 1 species